GAUUCCUGGCUCAGGAUGAACGCUAGCUACAGGCUUAACACAUGCAAGUCGAGGGGCAGCAUGAACUUAGCUUGCUAAGUUUGAUGGCGACCGGCGCACGGGUGAGUAACACGUAUCCAACCUGCCGAUGACUCGGGGAUAGCCUUUCGAAAGAAAGAUUAAUACCCGAUGGCAUAAUUCUUCCGCAUGGUAGAACUAUUAAAGAAUUUCGGUCAUCGAUGGGGAUGCGUUCCAUUAGG
rnacentral:rRNA from 1 species